rnacentral:rRNA from 1 species
UACGUAGGGUGCAAGCGUUAAUCGGAAUUACUGGGCGUAAAGCGUGCGCAGGCGGUUGUGUAAGACAGAUGUGAAAUCCCCGGGCUUAACCUGGGAACUGCAUUUGUGACUGCAUGGCUGGAGUGCGGCAGAGGGGGAUGGAAUUCCGCGUGUAGCAGUGAAAUGCGUAGAUAUGCGGAGGAACACCGAUGGCGAAGGCAAUCCCCUGGGCCUGCACUGACGCUCAUGCACGAAAGCGUGGGGAGCAAACAGG